ensembl:lncRNA
GCGGGGUGACRCGCCGGGGCCGGAGGAGCGACACGGCGCCCUUGCUGGCCCUGGAGAAGGACGGCUUUGCGGGCAGGAACAUUCGCGGCGUUGKCAGGGUCUCCCACUACUUCCAGCUGGUUUUCCUGGUUUGCUGGACGCCAGCCUUCCUCCUCACCCUCCUCUCCUUCACCAGCAUCCAACCCGCCUCGGUCUUUGCCCUCUAUGUUGCUACAGUAAGUAAAACCCGGAUUCCUGGGCUCCUCAGCCAGGACAUUUGUCCUGACUUGGACUAUGAGACACGCAAAAGGCGUAAGUGGAGGAAGGUGGGCAGGGGCACGGCGGGGACGCAGAGCAGGGAUGCUGCCCGCUGCCGCCGGCGUCUGCAGAGGCUCCUCUGUCCGAGCCAGGAGAGGGAAGCAGGAGCACAUCAUCACACCCAGGACAUCUGCCACCGGGACAGGCGCAGGGCAAAGGCUGCGGCUUGCCGGCGAGAGCCCUGGUCCCGGCUGUGCUUCACCCCCCUGUCCUGAUGUAAGGUYACAUCCCCAGCCCCGUGGCUGCCUCUCGUCUCCGCCGGAGCUCUUCCUCCCCGUUUGGUUGUGGUCCCCAGCUCUUCCGAGGUACAACUGCACUAGUCUUGCUUUAGUUGACGAAAAGAAGAGGAAAGGCACCUUCUUCCCCCUCGUCACCUUGCCUUUGCACUCACAGGGGCUGGUCCAACGCGGCUCCUCUCCAACGCGGAGAGGGGCAUCCAGGCCCUGACCAYGUCCCUCCAGGGGUUUCUGCACAGCCUGGUCUACGGUUGGCUGAGACAAAACUUCCGUCGGGAGGCAGCGGGCAAGAGAACCUCCCUGCAGCACCAGGGAGGUCUCCAGCCCUUCUACGACGACUCCCUGGGGGCAAUGCCUUAGGCUCCCCCAGCUCCUGGUCGCUUUGGGCUGCCCCAGGGUUUCCACGUCUGGCAGUUCCCCACGGGGGCAGGAUCUCUCUGGCCUUGGCCCCUCACCCCCAGCGAUGGUCGAGCAAGGAGCAGCCAGCUCCGGGCUGACCCCACCGUGCCGUUUUCCGAUGGAAAGGGGCAGCGGUGGCAAGGGCUGCAACGACUCUGCCAUCGUGGGACRUUUGCACACAGCUGCUCCCGGCUGAAGCCCAACUUACCCACGGGGGCUGCUGAACGCAGACGGUAAAACCACCAGCAGUCGCCGCACGAGAGAUCGACAGUGGUUUCCUGUUCGCUGCAGAGAAAAAUCCCCAACGGGGGUGCUUCUGCAGGGGCCAGGGCUCCACAGCCAUUUCCUCCUGCAGGCGCUGCUCUCUUCCCCCUUCUCCCCCUUCUCUGCGAGCAGCUCGCAUUGCUCUCAAACGCCCAGCACAGAGUCGAAGCAAACCGCUGCGCGAAGGGAAGAGCACCAAGAGCCUGUCGCCACUGCGCAGCCCCGUGCUCUAAUGCAGAGUCCCUCUGGAACAAGGACUCUCCUCCGCUCCACCAGGAACGACCCCAGCCGCCUGCRAGCAGCCUGCCUGGAGCUGCAGCAGCCCCCUUCAAGCUCGCGUGCACCCAGAUGAUGGGAAGAGGCUGGUGGCACRCGGACAGCGUGGAAAUCCCUAGGCUUUCCAGCAACUGAACAUCAACUGUGACUCACCCGGGGAAGGUGGUGGCUCUUUCUUGGUCCUCAAAAGCUGCUUCUGCCUACUUGACAAAACAAUCUUCUCCCUCAGCCGGCUCCCUGUUUACCACUUUCUACGCAUUUUGUGAUCUUGUUUUAGAGUGUUACUUUUUAAUGCCAGAGAGCAAUGCAAACUUCUCAGCAGGGCUCAAGGGAAGAUGCUCAUAAAUAAACAUCCUGUGGUUCAAGUGCUCCUGGGCUUU